CAAACAUCGCAGCACUGCUUGUUCUCAAUAACUCUGAGAACCCAACAUUCAGAAAGAUGCAGACAUUGGGAAUGAAGAUUGUGGCUCUUGCAGUCAUCAUGAUGCUGGUCUCCAGCUCGUUGGCUAAACCUGCCCAUGUGAUCGAAAAGCGCUCAAGUGAAGAGAAUCAGCGAACUUCCACCACCAACACCCAAUCUCUCCUUCAGCUCACUCAGCUGCUCCAGCUGUUGCAGGCCCUCAGAGCUCUCAUUCCAGCUCAAUGAUGUGUUCAUCCUGUCAUUGAAUAAACG